CACACACACACACACACACACACACACAGAAGGCAAGGGACAAAAGAUGUAUGGAAACAACACUGGGAAAAAGAAUGAGUAAAAAUGAACAAGUCACAGUUAGAAGUAGAUAAUCUAAAACACUCACCCAUGUUCAAAUUAAUGGAAAAAUAUCCAAAGGUGCAGCAACAGAGAUCCUCUUUGUCCAACGGCCGGAAGCCAAGUGAUGAACAAAACGGGAAGUACGGUUUUAAAAAACCCAAACCGGGCCAGGUCGAAUUUAAGGGGAUUGGGAAAAGACUGAAAUAGGAACCUAAGGGGUUAGGGAAAUGAAUAAAACAUGAUUAUAAGGGUUGCUGAAAAAGAGUAAUGAUGUAAUAUAAGGGUUGUCAGAACCUGUACAAAUAUGGACAUAAGGGGAACAGGAGGCAAGAAUAGCUAAACAUAUUGGUAUUUGGAAAUAGAACAAGGGGCGGAGGCUCAUAGGACAAUUGUAUAAAAGGGGAGCCCCGCUCCAGGCUAGUCAGAUCACUCUUUGGGAUAUCGCAAACGGUUUGGAUCUCAUGUGUUUGGGCUAAAUAAAAUUGGACCUUUGCUUUUCCUCACUCACUGAUUCUGUGUGGUAUUUCUCGAAACCUGAAUGAAGACUCAACUGAACUAGCAAGGAAUGGUAUACAGAUUAUAAAUCCCUACUUCAUCCCAGAAGUGAUGCACAUGGAGACUAGUGAACUGUCACAGGAGUCUGACGGACAGGAUGGAGGGACUACAGAUGAGUCUGUGGACAGUCUACACUGUCGAACUCUGAAGCCAUGGAGAGGAGGCUGUGCGCCCAGAUCUGGUCAUGCCGGUGAGAGGUCCAGAGAAGAUGCAGGGAGGCUGACACAGGAAGCAAUGGGGAGAUUGAUGUAGAGACUUUCUUAGGUUUUGAGGCAGUACAACGUCAAUCUCUCAGAGGAAGACAUCUUUCAUCCUACAUCUUUCUUUGAUAAGAACAUCUCAGGAUGUAUUUCAUACAAUGAUUUUCUGAGCAUUUUACAAAAUAUAUGCAGAGCCAUCUUGUAUUGUAUUGUAAUAGUACAACAUAGUGUGCAGGGGUGGACAAGUCAGUAGACAAGAACAUGUUUUUAUUGUUUUAUUUGUAGUUGGCUCAAUAGGCUCAGUAGGCUAACAGUCACUGUAUUUUUUUCUUCUCUAGUGUAACAACCAGAGAAAGAAAGAAAAAGAAAAAAACCUGCCUCCUAUUGGCUUUUACAAAACAAGCAUUCACUUUUUUACUGUAGUAUGUGUAACUUGUUCUGAUCCCACCGCCUGCUGCACUACUCACAGCCGGUUUUACUAUUCAUAUUAUUUGACAUGUGACCUUUUGACACAUAAUCUUUUCAGAAUCAGGAACACACAGGCAUAUGGAAACACUGACGAAUCCAAGAGAAAAUAAAGUGCAGCGCACAGUGAUCAUGUAACUCCAAACACAGCACACAGUCACCUUAAUACUAUUGUGGCAUCGGUGAGCAAUAGACUUGAUCAGGAAGCAUUGUUAAAACAAUGCACUGGCUUAUAGAACAAAUGCAGGCUUGGUAAUUACAAAUCCCAUUACAUGUCGUAAAAUUGCUAGACAUAACAAAAACUAGAUAAAGUUCCAGUAUAAAACAUAUAUAAUAAACAAACAGCACAGUACUAUGUUAACAAGUAAGACUUAAUGUAACAGAGCGACAUUAACAUUAAACUGCUAACAUUAGAGAUGCCCCAGAAAAUGCAUAUUAAGACUUGCUAAUGGCAGCGAGGUUACAAUAUCUUAUAUGUACAAUACAAUAUCUACAAUAUCUCUUAUGUGUGAUAAUAUCAGCUGUGCUACCUCAGACACUUCUUUAGAAAAGGAUAAUGACUGUUGCAAAGAUAUAUGCUACGCAGGAGUAUAUUUUAUAUACGUGUUUGUGUCUGUAUUAAAGCACAUAACUAGGAAUUAAUAAGUCAGCAUGUGCUAUUGCAUUAUUUUAGCCUAGUCAGUAAUGGGAAAUGAACACAUGUUACUGGGCAAGCAUAUUGAAGCUUUCACUUAGCCAGUGGGCUAUACAAUGAAUUUGUCCACACUUGGUGUGUUCUAUUAGUUUAUUUAUUUAUUUAUUAUUAAUACAAAACAAUUACUGUGCAAUUAUCAUAUUACUCUUCCUCAUUUAAAACUUUUGGUCUAAACAUCUAUACAUUUCUGUUAUUUCCCACUUGUGAAUUUCAUAAUUUCUGAAGCUCAGGUAACUUUCAGGGUUGUUUAGGUGGCAUUACUGUUCAUUUAAUAAAAUAUAACAAAACAGUCUGUGUUAGUAGUGCUCAUAGUUACAGUGAACCCUGUCUGAGGUACAGCUUGGCUCAGGCUGAAUGAGGAAUUAUACAGGCCGGGUCACAGAGUUCAGUAGUGAUUAUUCUAUAAAACAGGUGAAAGUAAUAAUGGACUCUUAUCAUUUACACUAGUAAGUGUGUAAGGAUCACAU